ACGCGGCAAGCGGCGAAACGCCCUGGGUAGGCGCACGCAGUCUUUGAUCCAGGGGUAUGGCUGUGCGCAGUAAUGCGCAACAACCCCCAGAAAUGAAGCAUCUUAGUAAGGGGAGGAAAAGAAACCAAUGGGAUUCGGUCAGUAACAGCGAGUGAAAGCCGAACAGAUCAAGCUGAACUCCGGUGCAGCAAUGCACUGGCGGAUGUGGCGGGGAGCAUCCCUUGAGCGAGCCGAAGUCCUCUGGAAAGAGGCGCCAUAGCGAGCAACAGCCUCGUAGGCUAAGCAAGAGGGAGUGAUCCAUGAAGAGUAGUGUCCCCUGGAUAGGGGGCAUGAAGAUGGGUGUAACAACAUCCAAAUCUAAAUAUGAGGUGCAAGACCGAUAGCGAAUCAGUAGCGCGAGCGAAUGUUGAAAAGCAGUCAGGGAUGACUGUGAAAAGAACCUGAAACUAGGUGGUAACAAGAUGGCAGGGCAUGAAAGCGUAUGCCCAUGGAAGCGACCCCGGGAAACCGUGGAAGCGACAUGGGUUCAGCAGUGUUCUGUCUUCCUUCUCGAAGCAAGAGCCAGGGAGUUAGCCGGUGUGGCGAGAUGAGAUUCGAAGCGAAAGCAAGUGCCCGCAGCGCAGCAAUGCGUGAGGGGCGUCGUGGUAAUUCGCGACCAGUCACCCCGGUUAGACCUGAAGCCAUAGUGAUCUACGCCUGAGCAGGGUGAAGUCAACCUGACGGUUGAUGAAAGCCCGCAACUAGUGGUGGUAUAUUCCCCUUAGGUGACUUGGGUGUAGGGGUGAUAGUCCUGUCGAACAUGGCAAUAGCGCGUUCCCCCUGAAAUGUGUCUAAGCACAGCGUCUCCGGAGAAUGAUGCAGGGGUAGAGCACCGAUUAGGUAGAUUGGCUCCGAGAGGGGUCGCUAUCUUCUCAAACUCCGAAUACUGCAUCUUCACAGAUGGAGGCAGUGGCGGUGUCCGAGUAAGUCUGGCAUCGCAUACGGGAACGACCGUACGUAGGGUUAAGGGCCCUAAAUGCUGGCUAAGUGUUAAUAGUAAAGGAGGCUCCUCUCGAAGACAAUGGGAAGGUAGGCUUAGAAGCAGCCAUCCUUUAACCAACGCGUAAUAGCGGACCCAUCGAGAGCGCAGUUUCUUAAAAUACACGGGGCUAAGCCAGCUUCCGAUACCCUACCGGCGCCAAAAGCGCACGAUUAAGGGGGCGAACGGGUCGCCCCGAAGCCCGGCGGUGACGUCGUGUGGAGCGGCCUGUUAUGAACAUCCUGGCGUUAGUAGCAGCAUAUCCGGACGAGAAUUCCGGACACCUCAUAGAGCAAGGAUUCCUCAGCCACGUUCUUCAGCUGAGGGUUAGGCGAUCCUAAGGCACGCGGUAAUUCCAGAGUGCCAAAAUUAGGGAAACCGGUUAAUAUUCCGGUCCUGCAGAGGUAGGCGCGGCAACGCAAGCCACAUCUCUGACGCUUUUGGAUAAGUGGGGCGGCAGCAAGCCGUCUGAAGGCAGUAGGUCCUCGGAGUCUCAUUGUGAGGAGAAGAGGAUGAAAGCCGUAGGGGAAACCCCAUUGAGUCCAGGGGCCCAUGAAAGAAACUUUUGGGAAAAGUUUCAUCAAAACCCAUGGUUUCCAUCAAAAGGAGUGUGGAACGAUUCUCUGCAAUCGUACCGAGAACCAGUACAGGUGCUCUAGCUUAGAAAGCUAAGGUGUGGCAGGAUAACCCAGGUAAGGGAACUCGGCAUAUUAGCCCUGUAACCUUGGAAGAAGGGGUGCCUUAGCAUGAGUAAUGCUGAGGUCGCAGUGACAAGGGGAGUGCGACUGUUUACCAAAAACACAGGUCACCGCAGAUCCGAAAGGAUGAGUAUGGUGGCUGACGUCUGCUCACUGCCAGUACCUGAAUACCGGUUUCAACCGGGGGAAGGGCUGGUAAAGAGCGGGGGUAACUCUGACCCUCUUAAGGUAGCGUAAUACCUCGCCGCUUAAUUGGCGGCUUGCAUGAAUGACGUAACGUCGCUCCCAAUGUCCCUACCUGGGACCUGGUGAACUCACUGCCCGGUGAAGAUGCCGGGAACUCCUAAUGGGAAACGAAGACUCCAUGGAGCUUUACUAUAGCCUGAUGUUGUGAUAUUGGACUUGUUACCAAGCGUAAGUGGGAGCCUUAGAAGCACACUCUCCGGGGUGUGUGGAGGCGCCGAUGUUACACCACUUAACAAGUUUGAUAUUGCUUACCCGAAAGGAGACAGCGUCAGGUAGAUAGUUUGGCUGGGGCGGUACGCCCUCGAUAAGGAAACAAGGGCGCCCAAUGCUCUGCUCAUUCCGGUCAGAAAUCGGAAGUAGAGGGUUAAACACAAAUGCAGGGCUGACUGUGUUUCUAAUAGCGUGAAACGCAGAGACGAAAGUCGGGGUUAACGAACCUUGAAAUCCCUUUGUUGAGGAUUCAAGCUGUCAGACAAGCUACCCUGGAGGUAACAGGCUCGUCGCGGGCGAGAGUACACUGCGGCGUAGUUAUCGUUUUUCUAACGGACUAGUCGCGUACUGAUCGACCCCGCGGUUUGGUACAUCGCUGUCGGCUUGGGGUAUCCUGGUCGUGUAGGAGCGGCCAAGGGUUGGGUUGUUCAUCCAUCAAAACCCCACAUGAGCUGGGUUCAGUACGUCGCGACUUUCUUUGGAAUUAUUUUUGUCUUGUCAACCUGAUCGUUAGCCUUAUUAAUUUUUUAUGAAUAAAAUGAAGAAAUAGCAUAUCUCGUCAGUGCUCUUAGGGACGGGUGCAUCAUUGUAAAGUUUUACCAGAAAAGUAAAGAAUGGUUACAUGUUGCAGCUCUGCUGAAAAGAAACUUUGGAAAGGGGCCCACUUUUUACCUCGAUAAAAGGAGAAAUGUGUGGCACCUGGUACUUAGUUCCAAGCAAAUCCCAGGCACUAAUGCAAUGGAUUUUUAUAGAAAAGUCGGAUGUUCGCAUCCUUAUAAGGUUUCACGAUUUAGGUUGCUGUCCAAAGAAGGCGACAAAGACAGUACGGUAGUAUCUCUUAGGAGUGUUGCUUCUUGAGAGUAAGGCCCCCAGAGUACGAGAGGAACGGGGGGCCGGGGCCUCUGGUCUGCCGGUUGUCAAUCUGGCAUCGCCGGGCACCUACGCCCUGUGUUGAUAAGACCUGAAAGCAUCUAAGGUCGAAGCAACCCUUAAAACGAGG
rnacentral:rRNA from 1 species